CCCAAAGGUUUCUGAUCGGAGACCUUACUUCUUCCCCAUCUUUUCGUGCCAUCUGGAGCUUCUGGUUUGAAAUAUUUAGGGCGAUUUUGGGGAUUUCCGUUUUUGUUUCAGUUGGGAGAUGGCGGCGGCGCUUCUAUCGAGAACAGUGAACCUCCAACCUCCGGAGAAGCCAAGAUUGCGGCGGAACCACCACCACCACCUGUUGCGAAAGACAAUGAAAACGGUGAUGGAAGUGGCACUAGAAUGGGAGAGAACCAGCAAAUUUGUGAUGCAGACCAAGAGGAACCUAUAGAUGGUCAUUCCAUUGAUGUUGAGGCCAGUCUUGAUCUUAUGGGGACAAUGGAACAAGAAACUGAGAUGGGAACCAAGGAAAAAGAUGGUGAUGAGGAGGCUAAAUCUGAGAAGCCUAAGAAGAAAAAAAGAUCAAAGA